CCUACGGGUGGCAGCAGUGGGGAAUAUUGGGCAAUGGGCGAAAGCCUGACCCAGCAAUGUCGCGUGAAUGAAGAAGGUCUUAGGAUUGUAAAAUUCUGUCCUCUGGGAAGAAAAAAAUGACGGUACCAUAGGAGGAAGCCUAGGCUAACUACGUGCCCGCAGCCGCGGUAAUACGUAGGGGGCGAGAGUUGACCGGAAUUACUUGGCGUAAAGAGAGCGUAGGCGGCACUACAAGUCUCAUGUGAAAUACCCGGGCUUAACUUGGGGGUUGCAUGGGAAACUGUAGAGCUUGAGUACAGGAGAGGCAAGCGGAAUGCCUAGUGUAGCGGUGAAAUGCAUAGAUAUUAGGAGGAACUCCAGUGGCGAAGGCAGCUUGCUGGACUGAAACUGACGCUGAGGCACGAAAGCGUGGGGAUCGAACAGGAUUAGAUACCCCUGUAGUC
rnacentral:rRNA from 1 species